rnacentral:lncRNA from 1 species
CCACAAGAACGGGAAGCUCCUACUGGUCUAUGACUUCAUGCCGAACGGAAGCCUCGACCAGCACCUCUUCAACGCGCCGCCGGGGGAGCACCUGCCGUGGGAGCGCCGCCAGCGGAUCGUCGCCGGCGUGGCCUCCGCCCUCCACUACCUUCACAACGAGUACGACCAGAAGGUGGUGCAUCGUGACCUGAAGGCCAGCAACGUGCUUCUGGACGCCGACUUCAACGCGCGGCUCGGCGAC